rnacentral:lncRNA from 1 species
GAUUAUUCAGCAACGUUCAAAAAAUCUUUUUCAGAUUUUAAUAUCAACAAUCGAUUGUACAAAAUCAACAAUCGAUUACCUGACGGUAUUUGAAAAGUUUACGACAACGGUCAGCUUCACAAUCGAUUGUGUAAUGUUAGCAAUCGAUUAUUUAUCAGACUUUGAAAAUCAUUUGACACUGCCUCGUGACAAUCGAUUGUUUUAUACUCACAUCGAUUAUUUAAUAAUUUUGAAAAAGUCUGGAAGUCACUGCCUCAACACAAUCGAUUGUCAUAAGUUCACAAUCGAUUGUUUUAU